UGGGACGAACUUGGGUGUCUCUUUAAAUUUGUUCCAUCAGUUGUCCAAUCAUACACAUUCACGGUUCUAUAAAAGGGGACUUUUAAUGCACCGUGUUGUGCUCACCUCUUGUGCGUCAUUGCCCGAGGCCCGCCCCUUCCUGGCUUAGACUCUUCCUGUCUUGCAGUUCCCGACAUAUAACUGUCUCAUGUUGCUUGGCGACUGCUUUUAAAUGCACUCCCACUGCAUUCCCAUACCUUCUUGCCGGUUUGAUGUCUGUUUGCGUGUGCGGCUGGAUGUGUGAUCAUAGCUACAAUAAAAAGGUGGAACAGUUUUAAGGAGGACUCAUUCAGUGCAGCCUGCGGGCAAACGUAUUUUGAUGCUGCUGCUUUGUUUAUGUUGUUUCAUGUCUGUUUUGCAAUCUAACGCAGAGGCGUGAGUUGGCGCGGGUAUUGGUCCUCUCCAUUGGACCAACUUUUCUGCGUUCUGCUUAUUGGACUGUGGAAUUUGCAAUUUGUUUCAGUUUGUUUUCAUUUAAUUGGCACCUGGUCAUGAAACUGGGGUGAAUAUUCAGUUAUUUCUUUACAAUUUCCCAGGUGUUUUGAUUGGUUGGUUUAAGUCUUUAUUUGUUUUCAUUGUAUUUCAUUCAACUGCUAAGUAUUCUAUUAUUAUUAUUAUUAUUAUUAUUAUUAUUAUUAUUAUUAUUAUUUCUUUGAUUAUUUUUUUCUUUGAGAAUUAAAUUUGAUUAACUGUGUUUUGUUCUGGGAAUCGAGGUUUUAGGCAGACUGCUAGUUGGCCCUUGUGUGCGGUGGUGGGACUCUGUCAAAGGGUGCAGUGUGUUCACGUUUGACCUUACUGUGUGUGUGUGUGUGUGGUGUGAAGUGUGCACUUGGUGUUAUGCUUCUGGCAAUAUAGUAGCCACAUACUCAUUAAGCUAGCCUAUCUGUCUUAGGUAAACCUCGGUUUCCUUUUGUUUUGUUGGUUUUGUAUGCCUUCUCUACUUCAAUUCAUAGUGACGUUUUAAGAUUAAUA